GAUGAACGCUGGCGGCGUGCCUAAUACACGCAAGUCGAGCGAACGGACGAGAAGCUUGCUUUUCUGAUGUUAGCGGCGGACGGGUGAGUAACACGUGGAUAACCUACCUAUAAGACUGGGAUAACUUCGGGAAACCGGAGCUAAUACCGGAUAAUAUUUUGAACCGCAUGGUUCAAAAGUGAAAGACGGUCUUGCUGUCACUUAUAGAUGGAUCCGCGCUGCAUUAGCUAGUUGGUAAGGUAACGGCUUACCAAGGCAACGAUGCACAGCCGACCUGAGAGGGUGAUCGGCCACACUGGAACUGAGACACGGUCCAGACCCCUACGGGAGGCAGCAGUAGGGAAUCUUCCGCAAUGGGCGAAAGCCUGACGGAGCAACGCCGCGUGAGUGAUGAAGGUCUUCGGAUCGUAAAACUCUGUUAUUAGGGAAGAACAUAUGUGUAAGUAACUGUGCACAUCUUGACGGUACCUAAUCAGAAAGCCACGGCUAACUACGUG
rnacentral:rRNA from 1 species